rnacentral:rRNA from 1 species
AACGAACGCUGGCGGCGUGCUUAACACAUGCAAGUCGAACGAGAAAGCUCUUUCGGGAGCGAGUAAAGUGGCGCACGGGUCAUUAACACGUGGAUAAUCUGCCUUUAGGAGAAGGGCAACCUGUCGAAAGACGGGCUAAUCCUUCAUAAGACCACAGUACCUUCGGGUACAGAGGUAAAAGUGGCCUCUAUUUAUAAGCUAUUGCCUAAAGAUGAGUCCGCGCACCAUUAGCAGUUGGCGGGGUAAAGGCCCACCAAGGCAAAGAAUGGUUAGCUGGUCUGAGAGGACGAUCAGCGACACUGGAACUGAGACACGGUCCAGACUCCUACGGGAGGCAGCAGUGGGAAUUUUGGACAAUGGGCGAAAGCCUGAUCCAGCAACGCCGCGUGAGUGAUGAAGGCC